rnacentral:rRNA from 1 species
GACGAACGCUGGCGGCGUGCCUAAUACAUGCAAGUCGAACGCUUCUUUUUCCACCGGAGCUUGCUCCGCCGGAAAAAGAGGAGUGGCGAACGGGUGAGUAACACGUGGGUAACCUGCCCAUCAGAAGGGGAUAACACUUGGAAACAGGUGCUAAUACCGUAUAACAAUCAAAACCACAUGGUUUUGAUUUGAAAGGCGCUUUCGGGUGUCGCUGAUGGAUGGACCCGCGGUGCAUUAGCUAGUUGGUGAGGUAACGGCUCACCAAGGCCACGAUGCAUAGCCGACCUGAGAGGGUGAUCGGCCACAUUGGGACUGAGACACGGCCCAAACUCCUACGGGAGGCAGCAGUAGGGAAUCUUCGGCAAUGGACGAAAGUCUGACCGAGCAACGCCGCGUGAGUGAAGAAGGUUUUCGGAUCGUAAAACUCUGUUGUUAGAGAAGAACAAGGAUGAGAGUAACUGUUCAUCCCUUGACGGUAUCUAACCAGAAAGCCACGGCUAACUACGUGCCAGCAGCCGCGGUAAUACGUAGGUGGCAAGCGUUGUCCGGAUUUAUUGGGCGUAAAGCGAGCGCAGGCGGUUUCUUAAGUCUGAUGUGAAAGCCCCCGGCUCAACCGGGGAGGGUCAUUGGAAACUGGGAGACUUGAGUGCAGAAGAGGAGAGUGGAAUUCCAUGUGUAGCGGUGAAAUGCGUAGAUAUAUGGAGGAACACCAGUGGCGAAGGCGGCUCUCUGGUCUGUAACUGACGCUGA